CCUACAUGGUGUCUUCUCAGCAGAUGCAGGACACAGAUAGAGGGUCGAAAGAAAGAAACCAAAUAGUACAAGUACAAGGCUACACAGGUUGUUUUCUCAGGAGAUAUGAACGUGACUGUUUUCAUGAAGAAGCAGAACCAGAUUUAAAGUAAAUACCCCAGUGUGUCUGCAGAGGUGUACAUGGAUACAGCGUGAGAAUGCCAAACGAUAACAACAACACUUCCCAUGAUGCAACCCAUAGAAUCGCCUGUUGGAUCCUCACUGUCUGUCAAGAUCAGCAUCAUCAGUUUGUAACACAGGCUUUUCUUCACAAAGGUGUACUCUCCAUGCCCAAACCAAUAUAACCCUGAUGACAGCAACAGCAUUUAUGUAGUGUUGGAAUAAUUGGCAAAAUUGAAUCUUGAGCAUAUUUCAUAGCUGCCCCGAUCCAUUUAUUUUUGCUCUAUCGUUGUCACACAAAUACUGGAAAUCAAUGUGUUGUUUAAAUGCUCUGAGA